rnacentral:rRNA from 1 species
GCUUACGGCCACACCUCCCUGAGCACGGCCCGAUCUCGUCUGAUCUCAGAAGCUAAGCAGGGUCGGGCCCGUUAGUAGUUGGAUGGGAGACCGCCUUGGAAUACCAGGUGCUGUAAGCC